ensembl:lncRNA
AGACCAUCACAUUGAUGAUUAGGUUUCAACACAUGAAUUUUGGGAGAGACACAAACAUUCAGACCACAGCACCCAGUGCUAAUGAGAAUGGAGGAAAAAAGGCCUGAGUUUUCUUUCUCCAGCUGCCUUUAGAAGCUCCUUGAAAAAAAUCAAGCGUAUUAAAGGAAGAUGGGUGCAAGGUUUUCUUAAGCACGGACCUUGAACCUCAAGUACCUUGUUGAGCAGUGACCCUUAGAAAAAUACUUUUGUCCAUAGAAUCUGAGAAUUGAAAGGAGAAUGAAAGUCUUCUGGACCAGUGAUUCCUAGGAUUUGGGAUUUCAUGGACUAAUAAAAAAAUUUUAAGGGACAUGGAUGAAUCUGGAGAACAUCAUUCUCAGCAAACUGACACAAGAACAGAAAAUGAAACACCGCAUGUUCUCACUCAUAGCCCAGGUCUCCAAAGCCCAGCUCCUGACCAUUCAUCAGUGAGAGAAUCAAGACUAGAACUUAGGUGUGACAAGUGCUCUCUGCUCUGUGUGAAAAAUAGCCACAUAUCCCAGUCUUCUCCUUUGAUCAAACUAGUCUAUCAACAUAUCUUAAUGAGUUCACUCAUAUUUGUCAAAAAAUGUGUCCUGCUUUUUGUUCAAGAAAAAUGUAAACAUUCAAACUUCUCAGUCCCAAUGUUAAAGGAGAAGCGAAUAAACCUUUGAAGGGAAGCUGAGCUGCGAAUCCUGCUUUAAGGAGGAAGUGGAUCAGAUAAUACCCUAUUACCAAUGUAUCCCAAGAUGGCCGAAUAAGAGGCAGCUCCAGAAAGCAGCUCCCAGCAAGAGAUGAAGAAGCCAAGUGGUCUCCACAAUUCCAAACGAGGUACCAGGUUCAUUUUGUGGGUCUGGUCAGACAGUGGGUAUAAACCAAAUAGGGCAAGUUGAGGCAAGGCAGGGCACUGCUCCACCCAGGAGGAGCAUGCAACCAACUGGGGACCGGGGGAUCUCCCCCUCUGAGACUUCGGUUCGGAUACAGCACUCUACCCAAGCCCUCUACAACACACAGAACAGGGCAGCUCCACUAGGCUGAAAAGCCUCAGUGAGCUGCCUGAACAGGGCAGAACAGCAACUUCACCCAGCACUGGGGCUGUCAGCAUAGAUCUAGGCAGAAGCACUGGUCGACACUAAAAAAGCCAAAAAGUUGGUGGGAUGGAGCUACCCCCCCACUAGUAAGAAGGGGAAUGGAACACAAGGAAACAGCCCAAAUGGCAGGAUGGGUGCCCCUGCUGCACAAAGCUCAGCAGGCCAAAAAAAUCUCACUCCAGCGUUAGGCACCCAGAAAGUCAGAGAGGAAUCCGGAACUAUCCAGCUUGGCAGGCAGAAGGGAAGCCACCAUUGCAGAAGCCAGACUAAUUUUCCUAAGUAAAGGACCCAGCAGCUCCACUGAAUCUGUGGCAGCCCAGCAGUGCCUCUGCAGGCAGAAAAAGGAAAGGCCACCUCCCCAGGCAGCUACCUGAGAUUGAAACUAUGUAAAUCCAAGAGAUGGGGAGAAACCAGCACAAGAAGAAUGAACCCAUCAAAAACCAGAAUGCCUCUUCCCGACCAUGAGAUCACGACUCCUCACCAGCAAGGGAACAAAGCAGGAUGGAGAAUGAAUUUGACGAAAUGACAGAAGCAGGCUUCAGAAGGUGGGUAAUAACAAACUUCUCUGAGUUAAAGGAACAUGUUCUAUCCCAAUGCAAAGAAUCUAAAAACCUUGGAAAAAAAGAUGAAAUGCUAACUAGAAGAACCAGCUUAGAGAAGAACAUAAACGACCUGAUGGAGCUGAAAAAUACAGCACAAGAACUUUAUUAAGCAUACACAAGUUUUAAUGGCUGAAUAGAUCAAGCAGAGGAAAGGAUAUCAGAGAUAGAAGAUCAAAUCAAUGAAAUAAAACAAGAAAUCAAGAAAAGAGAACAAAGAGUGAAAAGAAAUGAACAAAGCCUUCAAGAAAUAUGGGAUUACAUGAAAAGACCUAAUCUACACCUGAUCAGUGUACCAGAAGAUGACAGGGAGAAUGAAUCCAAGCUGGAAAACACUCUUUAGGAUAUUAUCCAGGAGAACUUCCCCAACCUAGCAAGCCAGGCCAACAUUCAAAUACAGGAAAUACAGAGAACACCACAAGGAUACUCCUCUAGAAAAGCAAUCCCAAAGCACCUAAUUGCCAGGUUCACCAGGGUUGAACUGAAGGAAAAAAUACUAAGGGCAGCCAGAGAGAAAGAACAGGUCACCCACAAAAGGAAGCACAUCAGAUUCACAGCAGAUCCUUCAGCAGAAACCUACAAGCCAGAAGAGAGUGGGGCCAAUAUUCAACAUCCUUAAAGAAAAGAACUUUCAACCUACAAUUUCAUAUCCAGCCAAACUAAGCUUCAUAAGUGAAGGAGAAAUGAAAUCCUUUAUGGACAAGCAAUUGCUGAGAGAUUUUGUCACUACCAGAACUUCCCUACAAGAGCUCCUGAAGGAAGCACUAAACACAGAAAGGAAAAACCAGUACCAGCCACUGCAAAAAAGAACCAAAUGGUAAAGACCAACAAUGCAAUUAAGAAACUGCUCCAACCAAAGGGCAAAACAACUAACCAGUAAUAAAAUGGCAGGAUCAAAUUCGCACAUAAUAUUAACAUUAAAUGUAAAUGGACUAAAUGCCCUUACCAAAAGCCACAGACUGGCAAAUUGGAUAAAAAACCAAGAACCAUCAGUGUGCUGUAUUCAGGAGACCCAUCUCAUGUGCAAAGACACACAUAAAUUCAAAAUAAAGGAAUAGAAGAAGAUUUAUCAAGCAAAUACAGAACAAAAAAAAAGCACUGGUGGCAAUCCUAGUGUCUGAUAAAACAGACUUAAAGCCAACAAAAAUCAAAAAAGACAAAGAAGGGCAUCACAUAAUGGCAAAAGGAUCAAUACCACAAGAAGAGCUAACUAUCCUAAAUGUAAACGCACCCAAUACAGGAAUACCUAGAUACAUACUGCAAGUCCUUAAUGACCUAGAAAGAGACUUAGACUCCCACACAAUAAUAGUGAGAGACUUUAACACUCCACUGUCAAUAUUAGAACAAUGAGACAGAAAAUCGACAAGGAAAUCCAGGACUUGAAUGUAGAUCUGAACUAAGCGAACUUAAUAGACAUCUAUAGAACUGUCAACCUGAAAUCUGCAGAAUAUACAUUCUUCUCAGCACCACACUACACUUACUCUAAAAUUGACCACAUAAUUGGAAGUAAAUCACUCCUCAGCAAAUGCAAAAGAAUGGAAAUCAUAACAAACAGUCUCUCAGACCUCAGGGCAAUCAAAUUAGAACUCAGGAUUAAGAAACUAACUCAAAACUGCACAACUUCAUGGAAAAUGAACAACUGGCUCCUGAUUGUAGACUGGAUAAAAUGAAAUGAAGGCAGAAAUAAAGAUGUUCUUUGAAACCAACAAGAAUAAACACACAACAUACCAGAAUCUCUGUGACACAUUUAAAGUAGUGUCUAGAGGGAAAUUCAUAGCAAUAAAUGCCCAGAGGAGCAAGGAAAGUCUAAAAUUGACACCCUAUCAUCAAAAUUGAAAGAGUUAGAGGAGCAAGAUCAAAAAAACUCAAAAGCUGGCACAAGACAAGAAAUAACUAAGAUCAGAGCAGAACUGAAGGAGACAGAGACACAACAAAACCCUUCAAAAAAAUCAAUAAAUCCAGGAGCUGUUUUUUUUGAAAACAUCAAUAAAAUAGAUAAACUGCUAUCCAGACUAAUAAAAAAGAAAAGAAAGAAGAAUCAAAUAGUUGCAAUAAAAAAUGAUCAAGGGGACAUCACCACCAAUUCCACAGAAAUUAAAAACUACCAUUAGAGAUUACUACAAACAACUCUAUGCACACAAACCAGUAAACCUAGAAGAAAUGGAUAAAUUCCUGGACACUUGCACUAUCCCAAGACUAAACCAGGAAGAAGUUGAAUCCCUGAAUAGACCAAUAACAAGGGCUGGAGUUGAGACAGCAAUUAAUAGCCUACCAGCUAAAAAAAAAGCCCAGGUCCAGUUGGGUUUACAGCCAAAUUCUACCAGAUGUACAAAGAGGAGCUGGUACCAUUCCUUCUGAAACUAUUCCAAACAAUACAAAAAGAGGGAAUCCUCCCCAACUCAUUUUAUGAGACCAACAUCAUUCUAAUACCAAAACCGUGCAGAGACACAACUGAAAAG